rnacentral:rRNA from 1 species
UACGUAGGGGGCAAGCGUUGUCCGGAUUCAUUGGGCGUAAAGAGCGUGUAGGCGGCCAGGUAGGUCGGUUGUGAAAACUGGAGGCUCAACCUUCAGACGUCGACCGAAACCAUCUGGCUAGAGUCCGGGAGAGGAGAGUGGAAUUCCUGGUGCAGCGGUGAAAUGCGCAGAUAUCAGGAAGAACACCCGUGGCGAAAAGCGGCUCUCUGGAACGGUACUGACGCUGAGACGCGAAAGCGUGGGGGAGCGAACAGG